rnacentral:sRNA from 1 species
UCGGACAGGGUUUCAGCAGAGUAUAUAAAAUAAAUGAUUGAAGAUGAGUCUGAUAAUAAUAAUAUAUAUCAUAUAAGGUGAAGUCCCAAACCCCAUUUGAGGGCUUUAUUCGCCCCGGAGCCGCUGCCAGGGCCAAAUCAAACAAGCAUCAACCUGGUUGGCAAUUUUGUUUCGCUUUUGAAUCAGACAUGGAUAGAACAAACAACCUUGUGCCAACUCCCGGCCGUAACUUGGUAAUAAUAAACCUGGAACUAGAAGGAGAGAAAGAAUGGAAA